AGUCGAGCGGAGAUGAGGUGCUUGCACCUUAUCUUAGCGGCGGACGGGUGAGUAAUGCUUAGGAAUCUGCCAUUUAGUGGGGGACAACAUUCCGAAAGGAAUGCUAAUACCGCAUACGUCCUACGGGAGAAAGCAGGGGAUCUUCGGACCUUGCGCUAAAUGAUGAGCCUAAGUCGGGUUAGCUAGUUGGUGGGGUAAAGGCUUACCAAGGCGACGAUCUGUAGCGGGUCUGAGAGGAUGAUCCGCCACACUGGGACUGAGACACGGCCCAGACUCCUACGGGAGGCAGCAGUGGGGAAUAUUGGACAAUGGGCGGAAGCCUGAUCCAGCCAUGCCGCGUGUGUGAAGAAGGCCUUUUGGUUGUAAAGCACUUUAAGCGAGGAGGAGGCUACUAGUACUAAUACUACUGGAUAGUGGACGUUACUCGCAGAAUAAGCACCGGCUAACUCUGUGCCAGCAGCCGCGGUAAUACAGAGGGUGCGAGCGUUAAUCGGAUUUACUGGGCGUAAAGCGUGCGUAGGCGGCUUUUUAAGUCGGAUGUGAAAUCCCCGAGCUUAACUUGGGAAUUGCAUUCGAUACUGGGAAGCUAGAGUAUGGGAGAGGAUGGUAGAAUUCCAGGUGUAGCGGUGAAAUGCGUAGAGAUCUGGAGGAAUACCGAUGGCGAAGGCAGCCAUCUGGCCUAAUACUGACGCUGAGGUACGAAAGCAUGGGGAGCAAACAGGAUUAGAUACCCUGGUAGUCCAUGCCGUAAACGAUGUCUACUAGCCGUUGGGGCCUUUGAGGCUUUAGUGNCGCAGCUAACGCGAUAAGUAGACCGCCUGGGGAGUACGGUCGCAAGACUAAAACUCAAAUGAAUUGACGGGGGCCCGCACAAGCGGUGGAGCAUGUGGUUUAAUUCGAUGCAACGCGAANAACCUUACCUGGNNUUGACAUACUAGAAACUUUCCAGAGAUGGAUUGGNGCCUUCGGGAAUCUAGNUACNGNUGCUGCAUGGNUGUCGUCAGCUCG
rnacentral:rRNA from 1 species